rnacentral:misc_RNA from 1 species
CAAUGCUCAUCUUUCUUUCUUCGCUGCUUCGCUCUGAGAACGGGGUCCGGUGUGACGAGAGCUGCCAAAAAACUUUAUUUUGUAUUAUUAAAAAUCAAAAGUUUUUAACAACACAGAACAGACAUCGUUUCAGCCACUGACCAUGUCGGAACCUGGGAGAGGUCGUUCCCGUGGGCGUGCAGGAAGAGGUGGUGACAAUGCUGGGCCACCUCCCCGUAAACCCGGCGAACAACAGCAACAGAGGCCCCCACAGCAACAGGGGCCACCAGGCCCCCGGCCACAGCCACCAUCCGCUUUUGGUGCUCCCGCACUGGGGCCGCCAGUGCGAGCUGGUGUGCCUACGCCCGCCCCGCCGGCAGGCCGCGCCUCUCUCCGACUAACACCAACAACACAUCAGGAACACCCUGGUGAUGUUGACGUACAAGAGAGGAUGCGGAGCAUGCAAAUCAGUGCUGCUUCACAAGUUGGUGCUGGUGAAAGCUCCUCUGUGAUUGGACGUGGAUCUCGCCGUGGCGGGGGCAGGGUUUUACCUGAACAAAUGACAAUUUUGCGCACUCGCCCAACAACAAUUCAAACGAAGAAGGGAACCUCGGGAACCGUGAUAGAUCUGAAGGCGAAUUACUUCACUGUUAACACAACGCCCCAGUGGCGCCUAUACCAAUACCACGUAGAUUUUUCCCCAGAAGAGGACAACACAGCUGUACGCAAAGGCUUACUGCGUGUCCAUGCUAACACUCUAGGAGGGUACCUGUUUGAUGGAGCAGUAUUGUAUACUGUUAAGCGCUUACACCCUGACCCAUUAGAGUUGUACUCUGAUAGGAAAACUGAUGGUGAAAGGAUGCGAAUUUUGAUAAAGUUGACAUGUGAUGUAAGCCCAGGGGACUAUCACUACAUUCAAAUAUUUAAUAUAAUUAUAAGGAAAUGUUUCCAAUUGUUAAAUCUGCAACUUAUGGGCAGGGAUUACUUUGAUCCUGUCGCUAAGAUUGAUGUUCCUGAGUACAGAUUACAAAUAUGGCCAGGAUACAAAACCACAAUCAAUCAGUACGAAGAUCGAUUACUGAUGGUAACGGAGAUUACCCACAAGGUUCUCCGUCUUGAUAAUGUGUUGCAAAUGCUCAGUGAAUACGCUGCAACAAAAGGCAGCAAUUAUAAAAAAAUUUUUUUGGAAGAUAUUGUCGGUAAAAUUGUCAUGACUGACUAUAAUAAAAAAACGUAUAGGGUUGACGACGUAUCAUGGCAAGCAUCGCCAAAAUCAACUUUCAAGAUGCGUGAUGAAAAUAUUUCUUACAUGGAAUAUUAUCAGAAGAAAUACAACAUCCGCAUCCACGACGGCGGGCAGCCGCUGCUGAUCUCGCGCUCGAAGCCGCGCGACAUCCGCGCCGGCAUGCCGGAGCUGGUGUUCCUGGUGCCGGAGCUGUGCCGGCAGACGGGGCUGACGGACGACAUGCGCGCCAACUUCAAGCUCAUGCGCGCGCUCGACAACCACACCAAGAUCGGACCUGAUGUACGCAUUCAGAAACUGUUGAAGUUCAACCAACGUUUGACCAGUUGUCGUGAAGUGGUUAAGGAAAUGGGUGAUUGGUCUCUUACUCUUUCCCAUGAACUUGUCAGCUUUAAAGGUCGGCAACUUCCCCCUGAAAAUAUAGUCCAGGGAAACAAUGCCAAGUACCCAGCUGGCGACACAACAGAAGGAUGGACAAGAGAUAUGCGCUCGAAACCUCUAUUAGAUAUCUCACAAUUGCCAUCAUGGGUGGUCAUAACCCCAGAAAGACAACGUCGAGAUUCAGAAGGAUUCAUAGAUUUAAUUAUGAAAACUGCUGGGGCUGUAGGUUUCCGAAUGCCGAGACCUGAAAUAAUACCCAUCAGGAAUGACGGACCUAUGGAAUAUGCAAAUGCUUGUGAGAAUGCAAUUGCCCGCAAGAAUCCCGCUAUGAUCCUGUGUGUUUUGGCACGCAAGUUUGCAGACAGGUAUGAAGCGAUAAAAAAAAAAUGCACGGUAGAUCGUGCUGUGCCUACUCAAGUAGUUUGUGCUCGAAAUAUGACCAGCAAUUCUGCAAUGUCUAUUGCAACUAAAGUUGCGAUACAGAUUAAUUGUAAGCUUGGUGGUGCUCCGUGGCGGGUGGACAUACCUCUACAGAGCAUCAUGGUCAUCGGCUACGAUGUCUGCCAUGACACUCGCUCUAAAGAAAAGAGUUUCGGUGGAUUUGUUGCAACCCUUGACCGGCAUUUGACUCGUUACUUCUCAGCGGUGAACUCGCACACCUCUGGUGAGGAGCUGAGUGCCCACAUGGGCUUUAAUGUGGCCGCAUCUCUACGCAGAUAUAGAGAAAUAAACGGUGCGCUGCCACAGCGAAUAUUUAUAUAUCGGGAUGGUGUUGGCGAUGGCCAAAUUCCCUAUGUACAUAGUCAUGAGGUGGCAGAAAUAAAAAAGAAAUUAAGUGAGAUAUAUGCAGAAAUGGAAUACAAGAUGGCUUAUAUAAUCGUUUCCAAGCGUAUCAACACGCGUAUAUUUUUGGACCGCGGCCGCAAUGGUGAAAACCCGCGUCCGGGUACAGUAAUUGACGAUGUUGUGACACAGCCGGAAAGAUACGACUUUUACCUGGUGUCACAAAACGUUAGAGAAGGCACAAUUUCUCCUACCUCCUACAACAUAAUUGAGGAUACGACUGGACUGCACCCUGAUAGGAUGCAAUGGUUGACUUACAAGCUGACUCACUUGUAUUUCAACUGUUCUUCUCAAGUGCGUGUCCCGUCUGUGUGCCAAUACGCCCACAAACUGGCGUUCUUGGCUGCAAACAGCCUUCAUAGCCAGCCACAUUACACUCUCAGUGACACGUUAUAUUUCCUGUAAAGACGAUAGCAUUAAGGCGGGGGUCCAGACAUGUAUCAUUUGCCCGAUCCGAUCACCGUAUCGUAUGAUGGACAAAAACCGACACGACAUGGGACGAUAUCAUAACACGGAUAUCAAAACGGCGUAUCGAGAUCGCGUAUCAUUAUUCGUCCACAUAUGUGAUCAUGAUACGCGUCGACGAUACGGAUACGAUGAUCAGUUCGGGCAAAUGAUACAUGUCUAAACCCACCUUUAUGUGUACAUGUUAAUUCGAGGCCCUCACCUAUUGUGAUUAAAGAAAACCUGACUGUUAGAAUAUUAUGACAAUAAAGUUAGUUUUUUGGUCCUGUGGACAGUA